UAUCCGUUCUUCUAAGGUGGCCGCUCC
rnacentral:sRNA from 1 species